ACAUCAAACAAUUUCUUAACUAAAAUUAAUAAUCUAUCUCCUACAAUCAAACAAACCAACUUUGGGACAUGUUCCCCCUUACUACGGUAGGUGAUCCAUCACACACAUCUCAUUCAAACCCUAAUUUCUCCACUUCUACCACCAAUCUUCCCAAAUCACCUAAACACCUUUCCUCUCAAUCCUUCCUCAUCCUCCAGCCACCAACUCUGCAAUUUCAAUAUUUACCAUCUUUAUCCCCCAUCAACAUACUCACUUCAUAUUCUAGGGUUUCUGCGAGAGAAUGAAGCGACAAAAGUGAAUGUGCAGAUUAUGUGUGUGUACGAGGAUGAUACAAGAACAGAGGGUUUUAUAAGUGUGAGUGAGGAAGGGGGUGUCGUUGAGGCUGUGGUGUGACCGAGAUUCGUCGUCGGCCGGAGUGCAUUCUCCGGUGAUCGGGGUUAGAGAAAAAAGGGGAUUGUGCGGUUGAUGUAUUCUAUUUAGGGUUUUUAAGGAUAUGAGUUGAGGGUUGAUUUGGAUCUGUACUCGAGGAGAUUACAGAGAAUGAAGAAUGAAGAACGAAGUUGUACAAUGAAAAGGAAAGAGGAAAAAACGCAUGAAGAUGAGUGAUUCAGAUGAUAAGAUCCCAGCGAUGCUUUCGGUUGUGGUUCCUUCGCCUUACGCAUCUUCUUUUCCCACCGGAUCUUCGUUUCAGUUAAUUUUACUCUUCUUUUCUUCGCUAUUGCCUCCGUUCUCUUCUCCUCUCACCCUGCGCAUUUCUCUGUUAACGCUGGGAUACAUUUAUUUCUCCUUAUCCUGUUGCUUUUGUUGGAGGAAAGCUUGAGAUUUGCAGCUGCAACAGUUCUCUUUGUGUCCAAGUGAAGGGAGCCAUUCUAAGCAUGCCUUGUAGAGAAGCAGGCUUAGAUCUUCUUCAGUCAAAUUUGGGAUAACAAAGUUAAUUCAACUAAAAAUCUUAUUGCAAGUAAAUAAGCUAGUUAAAUUGGAAGUUGGAGCCUUGGGAAGUUAAUGCAUUUUCUGCUCUAAAGGAUAGUGUUGUAACAUUGUUAAUGCAGCCUUGAUUUAUAAACUUUAGUAGCACUAUUCAUAUUGUUAGAAUGUACCUUGUCGGAUUCGAAUUGACUGUGGUUGAUGAUCUUAACACUGUCAGCAGGUAUUUUUUCCAUCAGUUUAGAGAUGUAGGCUGUAAAACAACACAUAAUUGAUGUGAUAAUUUGUAUGCACCUUUUCAGUGGAUCGGAUGCUCCUGCUCCAUACGAUCAUAAAGAAAAUCUAAAAUGAACUUCACCCAUGAUCCUCGUUAUAUAGAGAAACAAAUAAACUGCAAAUAACUGACAACAUGUUUUUAGCUACACGUUUUUUUGUAAACUGCAAGUAACUGACAUGUUUUUAGCUACACGUUUUUGUAAACUGCAAUUUAUCAGCACUGAUGGGGCAGUUAAUCUGCGAUUAUUGCGCUCACUGCACAAAUUAUUUCGGUAACUGCAUCUAAGUGGGAGAGAUAUUGUGGAACUGCUGCUAACUGCUGUAUUUUCGGUUAUUUUUUUGAGUUUACACGGCUGAGAUUUAAUCUCAGCAAGAUCUAACGGUGGAGAUGGAUUUGGGAGGUGGUUAGACUUAA